CUGCAACUUCUUUCUCUCACUCACUCACCGUCACUCUCUCUCUCAUCUUCUCCAUCUUCCAUCUCCUAGAUGUAGAAAAAUUAGGGUUUUGGCUAUGGCUAUGGCUGUCACAAAAGCUUGCAAUUUCUUCACUGUUACGACGACUCGGAGCGAUCUUCUCCUCUUCUUCACUUCGUCUCUCUCCUCUCUCAUUUUUUCACGUCGUCUCUCUCCUCUUCAUUUCUUCACGAUUCUCUCAUCAAUCUUUCUCCCAAUUUUUCACUGCUAAUUCUUUCGUUAAUGUUAUAUUGAUUUCUUUGAUGAUUUUUUCGGGUUAAUUUAUUCUGAAAUUGAGUAAUUUUAUUGUUAUUAAGGUUUCGUUUUUGAUUUUUUUUGCAGAGAAUUGUGUAAUUUGGGAGAUGAACAAAGAUCGACCAUUUGAUCCUCUCGAUUUCUUCAUCUGAACUGUUGAGAGAAUUGUGUAGUUUGGGAGAUGAACAAAGAUCGACCAUUUGAUCCUCUCGAUUUCUUCAUCUGAACUGUUGAGAAAAGAAGGUUUUUAGAGAGAGAAAGAAGGAGAAGGCAUUAGAGAGAGAAAAUCUACAAAUACAAGUAUACAACCAGUAGAAAAAAACUAAACAAAAAUAGUGUACAAGAUGAAGGAGAAGCAGCUUGAUGGUAGAGGAUUUUGUAGAUUUGUAGCAACUCCAAUCCUUCUGUUCCAAGGAUGCUACAUUGAGAACUUUGGCCAGUUGGUGUAGGUGGGAUUUCAUUAACAACAGCAACAUUAGAGACAGGUCUCACAAAUUAUGUGUUGCAAGCUCUCUCUAAGCAAGAGGUCAGAACUGGAUCUCAUUCAUGAAUCAUGGCCUGAGAUUAAAGAAAGCAUAAGCGAAUGAGGCAUCCAUGGAACAGUAUACUUCUCAACAUGUUGAUAACAACGCGGCCACGAAGCUUGCUGCUGCUGUUGCUGUUGCUGCAAGGAAAGGUUGUGUUUUUCACAAACUCCGGAACGGAAGCAAAUGAGUUAGCCUUAAUGAUGGCAAGGUUAUACACUGGGUGCCAGGAUGUUAUCUCUAUAAGGAAUGCUUAGCAUGGAAAUGCUGCUGGAACUAUGGGUGCAACUGCUCUGCUCAGUGCAAUUGGAAGUUUGAUGUUACUCAGAACGGGGUACAUCAUGCCAUGAAUCCUGACCCUUAUAGAGGUCUGUUUGGAGCACAUGGAGAGAUGUAUGCAAAAGAUGUUCAGGAUAUUAUCCAAUUUGGAACAUCUGGUCAUGUUGCUGGAUUCAUCUGUGAAGCCAUUCAGGAAGUUGGAGGAAUCAUAGAAUUGGCCCCUGGAUAUCUUUCUUCUGUGUAUGAUUUUGUAAAGAAAGCUGGAGGGCUUUUCAUAGCUGAUGAAGUUCAAGCUGGAUUUGCUCGCACUGGAAGCCACUUUGGGGUUUUGAGGCUCAUGGAGUUGUCCCUGAUAUUGUGACCAUGGCAAAGCUAGCGUCCCUAUCUGCGGAUGGAUCUUGAAGGAGGGGAAUUCAGCUACUUCUUGAGCAAACUCUCCAAAUUGUUCAAUCAAUUAUCCAUGCUUCGGAGAUUGAUGCCACUAUUUCCCAGUGGCCAUAUUGGUGGCCAGACGGCCUUAGUGCGGGGAGGACGUGUAUCUAUGGAGCGAAUUGUGCUGACUGGAUCAUGAGCAUGGAGGUGCUGGUGCUGUAGAAUAUAUCAUUUUCCAUGCAGAAGUUUCAAUUGCAUUCGUAGAAGAAAAAAAGAUUCCCGAGUUGCUUAAAGCUUUGCAAAACACAUUGAAAUACUUGAAAACUGUGGUUAGUUUUGGGAAUAUCACACAUGAGCAUAAAGAAGCUGUUGAAAAACUUGGCAUGCAGAUGUAUAGUUGGGAUGACUUUUUGCAAUUGGUAGGUAGGCAUAUUUUGAUGCUGGAGAAUGUUUUAAUCUUUUGUCUACGGACUUAUCUGUUUUAUGUAGCCUUAAGUAAAUGUUGCUCCUUAUGUUUUUCUCAAUAGCUUAUAUAUUGAUAAGCAUUUGGAGCUUUGUUCAGAAAGUUUAAUACCCAUUAUGCAGUUCCAGAGUGCGAUGUGUAAAGUUGUCUUUUGUAUCUACAUAGUUAUUAAACAAUAAGUAUAAUGAUGUUUUUUUAUUGGCAA